GAUAUGAAAAGGCAAACUUAGUGAAAACUAAGGACGCAAAACGAGGGCCUAACGUGACAUGUAUGGUCACCAUGGUAGCCGAGUUGCCAAA
rnacentral:ncRNA from 1 species